rnacentral:rRNA from 1 species
AUUGAACGCUGGCGGCAUGCUUUACACAUGCAAGUCGAACGGUAACAGGCCGCAAGGUGCUGACGAGUGGCGAACGGGUGAGUAAUGCAUCGGAACGUGCCCAGUCGUGGGGGAUAACGCAGCGAAAGCUGCGCUAAUACCGCAUACGAUCUAUGGAUGAAAGCGGGGGACCGUAAGGCCUCGCGCGAUUGGAGCGGCCGAUGUCAGAUUAGGUAGUUGGUGGGGUAAAGGCUCACCAAGCCAACGAUCUGUAGCUGGUCUGAGAGGACGACCAGCCACACGAGGACUGAGACACGGCCCAGACUCCUACGGGAGGCAGCAGUGGGGAAUUUUGGACAAUGGGCGCAAGCCUGAUCCAGCAAUGCCGCGUGCAGGAAGAAGGCCUUCGGGUUGUAAACUGCUUUUGUACGGAACGAAACGGUCCUGGUUAAUACCUGGGGCUAAUGACGGUACCGUAAGAAUAAGCACCGGCUAACUACGUGCCAGCCGCCGCCGUAAGAC